rnacentral:rRNA from 1 species
CCAUACGACCGUACCGCAAACCGACACUGGUGCGCGAGAUGAGUAUUCUAAGGCGCUUGAGAGAACUCAGGAGAAGGAACUCGGCAAAUUGACACCGUAACUUCGGAAGAAGGUGUGCCCUAUUAGUGUGUAGUGAACAACGAAGCAUGAAUGGGUUGCAAAAAAUCGGUGGCUGCGACUGUUUAUUAAAAACACAGCACUCUGCAAACACGAAAGUGGACGUAUAGGGUGUGACGCCUGCCCGGUGCUGGAAGAUUAAAUGAUGGGGUGCAAGCUCUUGAUUGAAGUCCCAGUAAACGGCGGCCGUAACUAUAACGGUCCUAAGGUAGCGAAAUUCCUUGUCGGGUAAGUUCCGACCUGCACGAAUGGCGUAACGAUGGCCACACUGUCUCCUCCUGAGACUCAGCGAAGUUGAAAUGUUUGUGAUGAUGCAAUCUCCCCGCGGAAAGACGGAAAGACCCCAUGAACCUUUACUGUAGCUUUGUAUUGGACUUUGAACAGAUCUGUGUAGGAUAGGUGGGAGGCUUUGAAGCAGGGUCGCUAGAUCUUGUGGAGCCAACGUUGAAAUACCACCCUGGUGUGUUUGAGGUUCUAACCUAGGUCCAUUAUCUGGAUCGGGGACAGUGCAUGGUAGGCAGUUUGACUGGGGCGGUCUCCUCCCAAAGCGUAACGGAGGAGUUCGAAGGUACGCUAGUUACGGUCGGACAUCGUGACGAUAGUGCAAUGGCAUAAGCGUGCUUAACUGCGAGACUGACAAGUCGAGCAGAUGCGAAAGCAGGACAUAGUGAUCCGGUGGUUCUGUAUGGAAGGGCCAUCGCUCAACGGAUAAAAGGUACUCUGGGGAUAACAGGCUGAUACCGCCCAAGAGUUCAUAUCGACGGCGGUGUUUGGCACCUCGAUGUCGGCUCAUCUCAUCCUGGGGCUGUAGCCGGUCCCAAGGGUAUGGCUGUUCGCCAUUUAAAGAGGUACGUGAGCUGGGUUUAAAACGUCGUGAGACAGUUUGGUCCCUAUCUUCCGUGGGCGCUGCAGAUUUGAGGAAGCCUGCUCCUAGUACGAGAGGACCGGAGUGGACACACCUCUGGUGUAUCGGUUGUCACGCCAGUGGCAUUGCCGAGUAGCUAAGUGUGGAAGAGAUAACCGCUGAAAGCAUCUAAGCGGGAAACUCGUUUCAAGAUGAGAUCUGCCGGGGCCUUGAGCCCCCUAAAGAGUCGUUCAAGACCAGGACGUUGAUAGGUCAGGUGUGGAAGCGAAG